rnacentral:rRNA from 1 species
UACGUAGGGGGGCAAGCGUUGUCCGGAAUCAUUGGGCGUAAAGCGCGUGUAGGCGGCUCGGUAAGUCUGCUCUGAAAGUCCAAGGCUCAACCUUGGGAUGCGGGUGGAUACUGCUGGGCUCGAGUCCGGAAGAGGCGAGUGGAAUUCCUGGUGUAGCGGUGAAAAUGCGCAGAUAUCAGGAGGAACACCGAUGGCGAAGGCAGCUCGCUGGGACGGUACUGACGCUGAGACGCGAAAGCGUGGGGAGCAAACAGG